AGGGCACCACCAGGAGUGGAGCCUGCGGCUUAAUUUGACUCAACACGGGAAAUCUCACCAGGCCCGGACACCGGAAGGAUUGACAGACUGAAAGCUCUUUCUUGAUUCGGUGGGUGGUGGUGCAUGGCCGUUCUUAGUUGGUGGAGCGAUUUGUCUGGUUAAUUCCGAUAACGAACGAGACUCUGGCCUACUAAAUAGACAUUGGAUCAUUUAAGGUCCAUUGCAGCUUCUUAGAGGGACGGGCGGCUUAUAGCCGCACGAGAAUGAGCAAUAACAGGUCUGUGAUGCCCUUAGAUGUUCUGGGCUGCACGCGCGCUACACUGAAGGAAUCAGCGUGUGUACCCUGUCCGAAAGGACUGGGAAACCCGUUGAACCUCCUUCGUGAUGGGGAUUGGGGAUUGCAAUUAUUCCCCAUGAACGAGGAAUUCCCAGUAGGCGCGAGUCAUAAGCUUGCGUCGAUUACGUCCCUGCCCUUUGUACACACCGCCCGUCGCUACUACCGAUCGAGUGUUUUAGUGA
rnacentral:rRNA from 1 species